GUGGGGAAUCUUGCGCAAUGGGCGAAAGCCUGACGCAGCCAUGCCGCGUGAAUGAUGAAGGUCUUAGGAUUGUAAAAUUCUUUCACCGGGGACGAUAAUGACGGUACCCGGAGAAGAAGCCCCGGCUAACUUCGUGCCAGCAGCCGCGGUAAUACGAAGGGGGCUAGCGUUGCUCGGAAUUACUGGGCGUAAAGGGCGCGUAGGCGGACAGUUUAGUCAGAGGUGAAAGCCCAGGGCUCAACCUUGGAAUUGCCUUUGAUACUGGCUGUCUUGAGUUUGGGAGAGGUGAGUGGAACUCCGAGUGUAUAGGUGAAAUUCGUAGAUAUUCGGAAGAACACCAGUGGCGAAGGCGACUCACUGGCCCAAUACUGACGCUGAGGCGCGAAAGCGUGGGGAGCAAACAGGAUUAGAAACCCUUGUAGUCC
rnacentral:rRNA from 1 species